GGGACAGUGAGUGACAACGUCAGCUUUACACCAUGUCUCCUGCAGAAUGAUGACCUCUCUGUAGCCUGUGGGACAGUGAGUGACAACGUCAGCUUUACACCAUGUCUCCUGCAGAAUGAUGACGUCAACAUCUUUAAGAUGUGUGUUAAACUCUUCAGUCUAGAGGUUGGUGAGUUUAGGCCCUGAAUGUUCCACAUGCUAACUAAUAGGUUGGUGAGUUUAGGCCCUGAAUGUUCCACAUGCUAACUGAUAGGUUGGUGAGUUUAGGCCCUGAAUGUUCCACAUGCCAACUGAUAGGUUGGUGAGUUUAGGCCCUGAAUGUUCCAC
ensembl:lncRNA